GAUGAACGCUGGCGGCGUGCCUAAUACAUGCAAGUCGAGCGAACAGACGCGGCGCUUGCUCCUCUGACGUUAGCGGCGGACGGGAGAGUCACACGUGGAUACCCUACCUAUAAGACUGGGAUAACUUCGGGACACCGGAGCUAAUACCGGAUGAUAUAUUGAACCGCAUGGUUCAAUAGUGAAUGACGGUUUUUCUGUCACUACUAGAUGGAUCUGAGCCGGAUUAGAUAGUUGUUAAGUUAACGGGCUACGAAGGCUACUAUGCGUUACCGACCGGAGAGAGGGAUCGCCCACCCGAGAACUGGGACACGGUCCUUACUCCUACGGGAGGCAGCAGUAGGGAAUCGUCCGCAAUGGGGGGAAGCCUGACGGAGCAGGGCCGCGUGAGUGAUGAAGGUCUUCGGAUCGGAAUACUCUGUUAUUAGUGAAGAACAAAUGUGUAAGUAACUAUGCACGUCGUGACGGUACCUAAUCAGAAAGCCACGGCUAACUACGUG
rnacentral:rRNA from 1 species